GCUGGGCGUGGUGGCGGGCGCCUGUAAUCCCAGCUACCCAGGAGGCUGAGGCAGGAGAAUUGCUUGAGCCCAGGAGGUGGAGACUGCAGUGAGCUGAGAUACCGCCACUGCACUCCAGCCUGGGAAACAAAGCGAGACUCCAUCUCAA
rfam:Homo sapiens chromosome 19, GRCh38 reference primary assembly.